CCGGCCUGGGCCACUCCACUGGGAAUCCAGGAUGAGGGCCUUGGCCGGGGCCCUGCCCUCUCUACUGCUGAGGUUGCUGCUUACAUCCUCCCCUGAGGCCCUGGGUGCCAACCCCGGCCUGGUCGCCAGGAUCACUGACAAGGGACUGGAGUACGUGGCCCACGAGGGAUUGGUGACCCUGCGGGAGGAACUGCUCAGAAUCACGCUGCCUGACUUCACCGGGGACUUUAAGAUCAAGCCCUUUGGCCGUGGGCACUACGAGUUCCAUAGCCAGCAGAUCCACAGCUGUGAGCUGCCUGGCUCCACUCUGACACCCCUUCCCGGCCAGGGCCUGAGUUUCACCAUCUCUGACUCCUUCAUCAGAGUCCAGAGCGAAUGGAAGGUGCGCAAAUCUUUCGUGAAACUACACGGGUCCCUUGAUGUGGAGGUCAAGGGCAUUACCAUUUCAGUCAACCUUCUCUUGGGCAGAGAGCUCUCUGGGAGGCCCACCGUCAGUGCCACCAGCUGCAGCAGCCACAUUCAAGAUGUGGAGGUGGACGUGUCGGGAGAUUUGGGGUGGCUGUUGAAUCUCUUCGACAACCAGAUUGAGUCCAAGUUACGCAAAGCGUUGGAAAACAAGAUUUGCGAAAGGAUCCAGAAAUCGGUGGCCUCUGACCUACAGCCGUAUCUCCAAACUCUGCCAGUCACAACAGAGAUCGACAGUUUCGCUGGCAUCGAUUACAGUUUAACGGAAGCCCCUCGGGCAACAGCCCAAAUGCUGGACGUGAUGUUUAAGGGUGAAAUUUUUAACCGCGAUCGCUAUUCCCCAGUCACCUUCCUUGCUCCUGUCAUGAGUCUUCCUGAGGACCACAACCGAAUGGUCUACUUUGCCAUCUCUGAUUAUGUCUUCAACACAGCCAGUCGGGUUUAUCACGAGGCAGGGCACCUGAACUUCUCCAUCACAGAUGACAUGGUUCCUUCUGGCUCUACCAUCCGCCUGACCACCAAGUCCUUCCGCCCCUUCGCGCCCCGGUUAGCCAGACUGUACCCCAACAUGAACUUGGAGCUCCAGGGAACAAUGGCCUCAGCCCCAUUCCUGAACCUCAGCCCUGGGAAUCUGUCCUUGACCCCCCAGAUGGAGAUUGAAGGCUUUGUGCUCCUGCCCAGCUCCGUCAGGGAGCCUGUGUUCAGGCUUGGUGUGGCUACCAAUGUGUCUGCCAUGUUGACCUUCAACACCAGCAAGAUCACUGGGGCCCUGAAGCCAGGAAAGGUGCAAGUGGAACUGAAAGAAUCUAAAGUUGGAGUAUUCAAUGUGGAGCUGUUGGAGGCGCUGCUCAACUACCACGUUCUCAACACCCUCUACCCUCAGGUCAACGAGAAGUUGGCAGAAGGCUUCCCCCUCCCUCUGCUGAAGCGCAUUCAGCUCUAUGACCCUGUUCUCGAGAUCCACAAGAGACCAUAACCUACUGAACGAUUUCGAUACCAAGGAACACGUCUGAUUGUUCACUCUCCUCUUCACUAUGCUGUCCAAGCAUGUUCUGGUCUGUCUGUGCCCACGGUUCAGGCUAUCUUUCUAGAAUAGCAUCUGCAAGGUGGGACGACUGGGUCGGCAGCCCUGUGAGCAGUAAAGGAGAUGCCAGAUCGCAUCUGGUCCAUCAUCAAUAUCCAGCAAAUAACAGUCACUGCAGAGAGUGAAGGGCAGCAGAGUGGUCAGGGACACUGAGACACUGACCAACUGCUAUAUUUGGAAAAACCAAUAUCCAAAGUCCUCUUGGGCCCAGAGAUGCUCAACAUCCAACUCCUGCUGAGUGAUUACAAGGAGUCAGACAGCUCGUUAUUUAAGUCAAAACUGACAAUUCACACAGCUGGCCUCAGGAUGGCACGUGGGAAAUCAUCAGAAGAUUUAUUCUACGCUAUCAUGCUCAUUAGAAUUUUGAGGUCAUUUGUUUGACCUCCAAAGGCAUGGGAUGGAUCGCUGUGGGAGAGAAUUGGACUUCGCCUGGAGUUCAGAGUUCCCGCCCCUUCGGGUGAUGGAAAGUUACCAGGAGGACUUCCUGUUCCUAGGUGCCAAUGUCCAGUACAUGAGAGUUUGAGGGCAAGGAGAGAGACGGGGGCUUGGAGGCCACAGCUAAAUCGGCAAGUUGCUUUUCCAGAUGUGCAGCAUAUUCCCGGAGAUUCUGAGAAGACGAAGAUUUUUCCGUUCUCAGAUCUGGGGGAGAGGUCUGCCUGGCCCCGGCCCCCACACCGCUCCUCUUCAGCAGGUGCACCCACACCUUCUCUGACUCUGGACUUCACUUUCCCCCCAAGAUUGGAC